rnacentral:tRNA from 1 species
GGAUUGUAGCUUAGUGGCAAAGUGCUUGCUUAGCACACAGAGGCCCUGGGUUCGAUCCUCAGCACCA